rnacentral:rRNA from 1 species
UACGGGGGGGGCAAGCGGUUGUUCGGAAUUACUGGGCGUAAAGGGCUCGUAGGUGGCCAACUAAGUCAUACGUGAAAUCCCUCGGCUUAACCGGGGAACUGCGUCUGAUACUGGAUGGCUUGAGGUUGGGAGAGGGAUGCGGAAUUCCAGGUGUAGCGGUGAAAUGCGUAGAUAUCUGGAGGAACACCGGUGGCGAAGGCGGCAUCCUGGACCAAUUCUGACACUGAGGAGCGAAAGCCAGGGGAGCAAAGCGGG